rnacentral:rRNA from 1 species
UGGGGAAUUUUGGACAAUGGGCGAAAGCCUGAUCCAGCAAUGCCGCGUGUGUGAAGAAGGCCUUCGGGUUGUAAAGCACUUUUGUCCGGAAAGAAAUCCUUGGCUCUAAUACAGUCGGGGGAUGACGGUACCGGAAGAAUAAGCACCGGCUAACUACGUGCCAGCAGCCGCGGUAAUACGUAGGGUGCAAGCGUUAAUCGGAAUUACUGGGCGUAAAGCGUGCGCAGGCGGUUUGCUAAGACCGAUGUGAAAUCCCCGGGCUCAACCUGGGAACUGCAUUGGUGACUGGCAGGCUAGAGUGUGGCAGAGGGGGGUAGAAUUCCACGUGUAGCAGUGAAAUGCGUAGAGAUGUGGAGGAAUACCGAUGGCGAAGGCAGCCCCCUGGGCCAAUACUGACGCUCAUGCACGAAAGCGUGGGGAGCAAACAGGAUUAGAUACCCUGGUAGUCCACGCCCUAAACGAUGUCAACUAGUUGUUGGGGAUUCAUUUCCUUAGUAACGUAGCUAACGCGUGAAGUUGACCGCCUGGGGAGUACGGUCGCAAGAUUAAAACUCAAAGGAAUUGACGGGGUCAUAGCUGUUUCC